AGUACUGUCCCACCAUCUCCUAUGCAGAUCUGUUAAUAUGAAAGUCAGGCCUUCAAAAGGACUUAAACUAUUAUCACCAAUUUUAAAAUUGCUAAUAAGAAACAUCCUAACUAAUGCAGUUCACAAAUUGAAACUCUGUGAUUUUGGGCUUCCUCAGCUGUCAUUUGUUGAUGCCCCAUCUGCUGUUUUCUGGACUCAUGCAGAUUAUCUGGAAGGUUAAUAAAAAUUAAAUACAUGAAAGACAAAGCAUUGCAAAUCACAUGUAGAAGAUAUUUACUACUCUUAGUUAAAUAGCUACAUAGGUAAUUUGCCCUGUACAUUGAUCUACUAUUAACUGCUUUCUUUUGCACCCUAUGGUCAUUGAUCCCUUUAACUGCUUCAUACCUGUUUGCUGUGAUUUGAAAUGGGCUGUUUGACUCUCUGCCAGAGAUUCAUUUUGCAUUAGCUGUCUUUCUCAUCCUGCUAAUCAAUUAAUUUAUCAGUGUAGCAAAUGAUGAUU